UACAGAGGGUGCGAGCGUUGUCCGGAAUCACUGGGCGUAAAGGGCGCGUAGGCGGUCUCUUAAGCGUGUGGUGAAAGCCCGGGGCUCAACUCCGGGUCGGCCGUGCGAACUGGGGGACUGGAGCUUGUCAGAGGCAGGCGGAAUUCCGGGAGUAGCGGUGGAAUGCGUAGAGAUCCGGAAGAACACCGGUGGCGAAGGCGGCCUGCUGGGACAGUGCUGACGCUGAGGCGCGACAGCGUGGGGAGCAAACAGG
rnacentral:rRNA from 1 species